rnacentral:misc_RNA from 1 species
GAUGAAGAACGUAGCGAAAUGCGAUAAGUAAUGUGAAUUGCAGAAUUCAGUGAAUCAUCGAAUCUUUGAACGCACAUUGCGCCCAUUAGUAUUCUAGUGGGCAUGCCUGUUCGAGCGUCAUUAAGUCCACUUAAGCCCUGCUUAGUGUUGGGAGACUGCUCCAGCGGUGCUACCCUGUAGCUACCCUGCAGCUCCUCAAAGACAGCGGCGGAGUUGUGGUAUCCUCUGAGCUUAGUAACUUGUUCUAGCUUUCNNNNNNNCCACUUCCCCUGCCGUAAAACCCUUAAUUUUUAAUGGUUGACCUCGGAUCAGGUAGGAAUACCCGCUGAACUUAAGCAUAUCAAUAAGCGGAGGA